AAAAGAAACCAACAGGGAUUGCCUUAGUAACGGCGAGUGAAGCGGCAACAGCUCAAAUUUGAAAUCUGGCCUCUUUGGGGUCCGAGUUGUAAUUUGGAGAGGAUGUUUCGGGUACGGUCCGGGCUUAAAUUUCUUGGAACAGAAUGUCACAGAGGGUGAGAAUCCCGUCUGGAGUCCGGACACGGCCUAUGUGAAACUCCUUCGACGAGUCGAGUUGUUUGGGAAUGCAGCUCUAAAUGGGUGGUAAAUUUCAUCUAAAGCUAAAUAUUGGCCAGAGACCGAUAGCGCACAAGUAGAGUGAUCGAAAGAUGAAAAGCACUUUGAAAAGAGAGUUAAAAAGUACGUGAAAUUGUUGAAAGGGAAGCGCUGGCAACCAGACUUGCACGUCGGGGUUCCCCCUUGCUUUUGCCUGGGUUACUCCCCGGCGUUCAGGCCAACAUCGGUUUCGGGGGUUGGUUAAAGGCCUUGGGAAUGUACUUACCCUCCGGGGUAAACUUAUAGCCCAGGGUGUCAUGCGACCUCCCGGGACCGAGGAACGCGCUUCGGCUCGGAUGUUGGCGUAAUGGUUGUCAGCGACCCGU
rnacentral:rRNA from 1 species